GUGUUUUUUUUUUUUUUUCUUAAAACUUUUUAAAGAUUUAAGUUCAGUUUAGCCAAACAGCUCAGCUAUUACAGUCAUUAAUAAAUGUAUUUAGGAUUCAUGCAGCAUCAGAAUGCAAGACAUCUGGUUCUAAUUUCAAUUUUGGCUCAGAAUAAAAGUGCUUCCCCCACAAUACUUUGAUUAUAAACUGUUCUUUUCCUCCUCUCUCUUUUUCUUUUUUGGAAGCUGUUAUCCUUCAUUCUUGCUGGAAGCCACCUGACCACUGCCAGGAAGAGGAAUUCAAAAUAUUCCCAGGAGCGGCCGUGACGUCAGCACUGCAUUCCACCACUCCACAGUCCAGGCUGUCGGGAAGCUCCGGCCUCCAGCAAAACCCCAGGAAGAGAUAGCAGCUGAGGCCUGCACUAAAUCACACACAGACAGCCUUCUUUUUGGUUUGGUUUGGCUUGGAAAUUUUUCAACCAUAGUAAUUGACCCAGUAGACCACUCAUCAUAGGCACUGGAGUGUAGACAAAGGAGAGAAGAACAAGAAAAGAGUUUGGGCCUCCCAUGCAUUGGGCCUAUGCAGAAGACAUAAAGGUCUCUGAGAAUGACAGAGGUUUACCACGAAUUUAUUCAGCCAACAACUCUGGCUGCAGUUGCUGAGCCAGAUGUGAGUUCCAGCAGAGCAAAUCAAUACAUCUCCUCAUCUGCUGUGCAGCCACUGCUUCAACAUAUGUGUGACGGUAUGGACAGCUACUUUGAAAAGAACAAGAGACAUUAAGGUGGCCAUUGUUGAUUUUCCUAUUGUCUGGUUUUGAAGGUCUAUAAUGCUUUCAUUCUUUUGUUUUGAUUGAUUUUAUACUAUUUGGUUUUGUAUGAAUUCAUUGUGUGUGAAGAUAUAGGUAACUGUUUCUAAGAAAACAAGAGACACUUGAUUUCCUAUUGUCUUGUUUUGAAAUCCUGUGUUGAUUGCAUUGUUUUGUUCUGAUCUGCUCUGUUUUGUUUUGUUUUAUUCUCUUUAAAAUAAAAAAAGAAAUCUGAUAAUCAUAGACUUUGUAGGGGUUCCAGCCUUACUUUGUUACGUACUAAUGCAGCCAGUCCAUGAAUCAUGCAUCAAGCAAACAAUGCAUUACAUUUUCUUCAUAUCUUCUGUCCUUAGUUUUACUAAAGCAAUUUUCCUACAUCCAAUGAGCAUGCACGAAGUACUUUCUGAGCAGACUUCAGUAAGGUACUCGCUGAUAAAAACACCUCUUGUAAGUUUCUUUUAUAAAACAGCUAGAAUUUCUGAUACUGAAGGACAAUGGCACUCUUCUGCCCUAAAUAACUAACCGUCUACUAUAGAUAUUUCCUUUAAUAACCAAAAACUUUUACAUAAGAAAUAAGCAAAUAUUUGGUACUCUAUCAACAAGCUAAACUUAAAUGAGGUGGCACAUACCUGCAAUCCCAGAACUUGGGAGGCUGAGGCAAAAGGACUACUACAAAUCUGAGACCAGCCUAGGCUACCUGGAUUUGGGACCAGAAUAAACCAGUGAGGUAACAGCCCAACAAUUACUUAAGAAUAGAUAGAAAAGGUACUAAUGUUUCUCUCUUAUGAAAAGAUAAUGGAGUACAUCACACACCAUGGACUGGUUGAACGUAAAUACAAACACAUUAAGCAUAAGUUGGUAAAAAUGUGUAAAUCUUGACCUGGUGGACUUUAUCUUUCUCUUAGGCAGCAAAGAAAAAUCCCAGAAAAGGUACAGACUAUCUAGGGUGUGCCGCUAGUAAUAUUCAAAGAAUUUAUUUUUAUUUUUACAGUCAACAUAAUGGGAAAUGUUCCUAAAGGUUGUCUUGGAAGGCUUAUAAAUACUGAAAGUAUUAUGUACAACCCUAAAUUGCCUUCUUUUUUUUUUUUUGGAGACAGAGUCUCUCUAUGUAGUUCAGGCUGGCCUUGAACUCACUAUGUAGCCUAAGCUGGCCUCAAACUCUCAGUGAUCCUCCUGCCUCAGCCCCCUGAGUGCUGGGAUUAUGGGUAUACCACCAUGCCCAGCAAGUUAAUAGCAAAUUUAAAGCAAAUUUUGCUUACUGUACUAUCUUUAGCUGACUUAUUUAAAUUUGUAUAAAAUGUGGAAAAAUUUUUUAAGCCUCAGGGAACAUGUAAACUGUUUACUUUUCUAUGUAGGCAGUGUUAUAGAAAAACAAAAAAAAAAAUCAAUCAAACCAAAUAAACAAAACUGACAAACCACUAAGUAGAUGAGAAAGAAAGAGAACACUACAAUUGUAAAAAUCAGGAAUAAGAGGCGAGCACUAUCACAGAAAUCAAAGGAGCUGUAUGACAUAUUUUCAAAAGGAAGUAAUGUCAACAACUAUAGUCAAAAAAUUAAAAAACUGAAACAAAAAGAACAAAUUCCUAGAAAGACACAAACUUUCCAAACUGAAGCGAAAAAGAAAAAUCUAAGUAAACCUAUAAAAAAUAAAGCGACUGAGGAAGCCGGUCCUCAGUGUCACUGUGAUAAAAUACCUGAGAAAUCACUUACAGGAGAAAAAGUUUAUUUUGACUUUAGGUUCUGAUGUUUUGAUUUGUUGUCACUUGGUUCUAUUGUUUCUGGGCCCAUAAUAAAGCUGAGUAUCAUCGUGAGGAGGGUGUGAUGGAGCAAAGGGCUCCAUCAGGGUGCCUGGGAAGGAAGUGGGGGGCAAAGGCAGGGACAAGGCACUGUCUACAAGUUCAUAAACCAAGAGGUGUACUUCCUCUAACAAGGCCCAGCUUCCUGUUCCCAUCACGCCAAAUGGCCCAUUCAGCUAUGAGUUUAUUAACCCAUUGAUGAGGUCAAACUCCUCAUGGUUCAGUCACUUUUCAAGGGCCCCAUGGAUGAACAGUUCUGCACUGGAAACCAACCCUUCAACAUAUGAGUUUUGGGCAGACUUUUAGAUCCAAACCAUAAAAGUAAUUUAAAAAUUUUCCACAAACGAAAGGCCAGGCCCAGCUAGUUUCACUGAUGAAUUCUACCAAAUGUUUAAAGAUGUAUUAAUAGUCUAGUUUAUAAAGUCUUCAAAAAAAUAGGAAAUACAGUACCAACCAACUUAUUCUAUGAGGCCAAUAUUACUUCAUAUCAAAACCAAAGACAUCACAGGAAAACUAGAGACAAAUAUCUCUUAUGAAUGGACACACAAAAAACCCUAAGUAAAAUGUGAGCAAAUCAAAUUCUGCCAUAUAUUGAAAAGAUUAUACACUAUGACUAAAUGGAAUGUAUCCCAGGGAUGUUAAGUUGGUUUACCAUUUGAAAAGCAAUCUAAUCAUCUCAUUAGAAUAAAGAAUAAAAAUAACAUAAUUUUUAAAUCUAAAUGAUUUCACUUAGAAAUCAGGAAUACAAAAGAAAUUUCUGAAUCUGAUAACAACAGCAAUUAAAGUCCUACAAACAACAAUAUUUAACAGUGAUUGAUUUCCCUGAGAUCCAGAGAAGGAUAAAGAUGACCAAUUCUUGCCACUUCUACUCAAUAUUAUACUGGAGGUUCUAGUCAGGGAAAUUAGAUAUAGGGCUAAAAGGCAUUCACACAAGCAUAGGGAUAAAAAAAAGCAAGAAGUUAAAACUCAAUUACCAAAUGACAUAAUUUUAUAUACCCUAAAGAAUAGCCUAAAAAUCUGUUAGAAUCAAUAGAUGAGUUUAGCAAGUUUGCAGGAUGUAAGUUCAAUAAACAAGAAUUAAUAGUAAUCAUAUAUAGUAUCAAUAGACAAUGUGAAAAUAAAAUUAAAGCAAAAAUUUCAUAUCAAUUAGUAUCAAAAAAUAAAAUACUCAGGGCUGGGGAUUUAGCUCAGUGGCAUAAGUGUCUGCCUUGCAAGCACAUGGUUGUGAGUUGGAUCCCCGGUACUGAUUAACAAAAUAAAAUAAAAUAAAUAAAAAUUUAAAAAAAUACUCUGGAGUAAUUUAACAAAGUGUAAAAGUUAUACUGUGAACACUAUAAAACACUACUGAGAAAAGUUAAAGAAUAUUGAUAAGUGAGAAGACAACCCAUGUUUAUAUAUUACAAGACAAUAUUCUUAAGAUUGCAGUGUUCUCUAAAAUGAUCUAAAUAAUCAACUCGAUCUGAACCAGAAAUCAGUUUGGCCUUUUUUGCAGCAAAGACAAGCUGAUCCUAAAAUUUAUAUGGAAAUAAGAGACUUAUGACAGUCAAAAUUAAUGUUGAUGAAAGAAGAACAAGGUUGAAAUACAAUUUCUGAUUUCAAAGUUUCCUACAAAAAUAAUAGUAACCAAGACAGGGUGUACUGGCCUAGAUAAAUAGUGCCAGUAGGACCAACACAUACUGUAAAUCAAUGGAAAAUAACUAAUACUUGCACUUACGGUCAAUUGAUUUUCAAAAAGAGUACCAAGAAAAUUCCAUAGCAAAAGAAUAAUCUUUUCAAAAAUGGUAGUAUGACAACUUGAUAUCCAUAGGCAAAAGGAUGUCUUUAAAUGCUUUUCCAUAUCAUACAUAAAAAUUUACAUACUUACAUGUAAGAGCUAAAAAAAAGUAAAACAUUUAAAAGAAAACGAUGGAGAAAAUCUCUGUGAAAUCAAUUAGACAAUGGCUUCUUAGAUAUACCAAAAAUACAUGCAAAAAAAGAAAAAAGACUGAUAUUGUCAAAAUGAAAAACAUUUGUGCUUCACCAAUAAAAUGAAAAGAUAACCCACAGAAUGGGAGAAAAUAUUUUAGAUCCUAUAUCUGAUAAGGAACUAUACCUAGAAUAGAAUAGAGUAACUCAAUUAAAAACAUAAUAACCCAAAUAAGACACGGGCAGUUGUAGAUAUUUUUCUAAAGAAUAUAUACAAACUGCCAAAAAGCACACAGAAAUUAUGAAUCACAAUGAAAAUGCAACUAAGCCAGGUAUAAUGGUGCACACCUGCAAUCCCAGUGCUCUGGGAGACUGAGUGAGGCAGGAGGAUUGCGUGUUUGAGCCCUGCUUAAGCAGUUUAGUGAGAUCCUGUCUGCAGGUGCAGAAAAGAGGAAAAGAAAAAAAGUACAAUGAAAUAGCGUUUUAUACAAAAUAAGAUGCCCACAGUAAAAAAAAGUGGUGUCAAUUGUUGAAGUUGUGGAAGAAUUGUUACACUUAUAUAUCACUGUUAGUCAAAUACACAAUGGUGCAUUUACUUUGGAAACAAUUUGGUAAACAAUGCUAAAUAAAGUUGUCCUUUGAGUAUUCCACUUACAGAUAUAUACUGAAGAGAAAUAAGAAGUUAUGUCCAUACAAACACUUGUACAUGCAUAUUUAUUGCAGUAUUCAUAAUAACAAACAUGAAAACAAUUCAAAUAUUCAUCAAAAGACAAAAAAUGCAGUGCAUCUAUACAAUGGAAUAUUAUACGGCCAUGAAAAAAAUGAUAGAGGGAUGAACUCUAAACUCAUUAUGCUAAGUAAAAAAAAUUAUGGAAGAACAUAUGCUGAAUCUAACAUUUAUAUGAAAUGCCCAAUAUAGCCAAAUCCAUAGACAAAAAGUAAAUUGGUGCUUAUUUAGUGCUAGAGGCUUUAGGAAAAAUGCAAAGUAACUCCUAAUGGGUAAGAAGUUUCUAUGGGGGAUGUUGAAAAUGUUUCUAUUGGGGAUGAUUAUAAUGUUCUAGAGCUGAUAGCUGUACAUUAACCUGAUUGAUAUACUAAAAACUAGUGAAUCAUAUAUCUUAAAAGAACAAAUAUAUUAUGUUAAUUCUUGACAUUUAAAAAUAAGCUGUUAUAUACUUGUUUUACGUAAGUCCUUUUAGAUACUUAUACCACCUGACAGGAAAGGAAGCAAACAAAAAAAGUAAAAGUCCACUGUACACAGCCUCAACUAAUCUGGAAAUAAGUGAAUAAAAUGCUUGUUUACCAAAGGCAUCAAUUUUCUGACAUGUAAACAUGCAUUACAAAGAUGUUAUAAUUAAUUUCAGCUCUAACUUAUACAUUAUGUCUAGAACUUCUCCAAAACAGUCUACCAGAAUUGACAGCAUUAUGCGUGAUGAAAUGAAUAGAUACUUUUAAGAAAAAGAGACGUGAUAGGUAUCCAUUGCUGAUUUCCUAUCGUCAUGCUGUGAAAUCCAGUAAUGCUUUUCUUUUUUGUUCAGAGUGGCUUUAGUCUGUUUUGUAUUAUUUAAUUUCAACACACAUGAAGGUAUGGACAACUGUUUUGAAGAAAACAAGAGACAUUAUGGCAGCCAUUGUUGAUUUUCCUAUUGUCUGGUUUUGAAGGCCUGUAAUGCCUUCAUUAUUCUGUUUUGAUCAGCUUUAUACUAUUUUGUUCUGUAUGAAUUCAUUGCAUGUGAAGAUACAGACAACUAUUUAGCAGAAAACAAGACACAUUAUAGUAGCCACUGAUGAUCUCUUAUUGUCUUGCUUUGAAAUCUGUGUCACUUAUAUUGUUUUCUUCUGAUCUGCUUUGUACUAUGUUUUGUUGUACCCUCUUGAAAAUAAAAAAAAUUGAAAAAAAUUAAUUUCAGCUCUAAUGGGCACAAUAUUUGAUGACAGUAUUGCUCUUUUAUUUAUUUUGAUCUGACUUUUGGUCUACGUAAUAUACAUGUACAAGAAGACUUCAAACAAUAACUCUAGUAAAAUACCAAUCACAGUAACAGUUGGUUACAAUAACCCAAAAUUCUCAUUAGAAUACUCUUCCUCAGCAGUGGAGAGCACUACAAUAAGCCACCCAUGGCCCCAAAUCACUUCCCCUUCCUUGGGAUAAAUCAUGGCCAGAUCACGUAAAUAAAUACCCUGUUAAAACAUGAAUGCAAUUUUCAAAUUUGGACUUAAAAAUAGGAAGUUUCUCACAGCAAUGCUAAGACCUCGCAGUGCAAGCCAAACACCGGAAAGUAAAACAAGUGCUCGGAGGUGGGGACCGUUCAGGGCUGUGUGAAGGAGGCCUGCAUUCGCUCCACACCCAGAGCACACGCAGUGGCACGCCUUGUAAUACUUGUGCUUUGUAGUCUGCAAAAGACUUCUAGUGCUAUAAUUUCGUCUGAUCCUUACAACCUCUACUAAACCCUUUUCUUUCAAAUAAAUUGUAAUAAGUGUGAGUAAUAAAUUCUGUAAACUCA